UACGUAGGGGGCUAGCGUUGCUCGGAAUCACUGGGCGUAAAGGGUGCGUAGGCGGGUUUUUAAGUCAGGGGUGAAAUCCUGGAGCUCAACUCCAGAACUGCCUUUGAUACUGAAGAUCUUGAGUUCGGGAGAGGUGAGUGGAACUGCGAGUGUAGAGGUGAAAUUCGUAGAUAUUCGCAAGAACACCAGUGGCGAAGGCGGCUCACUGGCCCGAUACUGACGCUGAGGUGCGAAAGCGUGGGGAGCAAACAGG
rnacentral:rRNA from 1 species